UACGUAGGUGGCAAGCGUUGUCCGGAAUUAUUGGGCGUAAAGCGCGCGUAGGCGGAUCUGCAAGUCGGGGGUGAAAUCCCGAGGCUCAACCUCGGAACUGCCUUCGAUACUGCGGGUCUCGAGUCCGGGAGAGGUGAGUGGAAUUCCUAGUGUAGAGGUGAAAUUCGUAGAUAUUAGGAAGAACACCAGUGGCGAAGGCGGCUCACUGGCCCGGUACUGACGCUGAGGCGCGAAAGCGUGGGGAGCAAACAGG
rnacentral:rRNA from 1 species